rnacentral:rRNA from 1 species
GGUUAAGCGACUAAGCGUACACGGUGGAUGCCCUGGCAGUCAGAGGCGAUGAAGGACGUGCUAAUCUGCGAUAAGCGCCGGUAAGGUGAUAUGAACCGUUAUAACCGGCGAUUUCCGAAUGGGGAAACCCAGUGUGAUUCGUCACACUAUCAUUAACUGAAUCCAUAGGUUAAUGAGGCGAACCGGGGGAACUGAAACAUCUAAGUACCCCGAGGAAAAGAAAUCAACCGAGAUUCCCCCAGUAGCGGCGAGCGAACGGGGAGGAGCCCAGAGCCUGAAUCAGCAUGUGUGUUAGUGGAAGCGUCUGGAAAGGCGCGCGAUACAGGGUGACAGCCCCGUACACAAAAGCGCAUGUGCUGUGAGCUCGAUGAGUAGGGCGGGACACGUGGUAUCCUGUCUGAAUAUGGGGGGACCAUCCUCCAAGGCUAAAUACUCCUGACUGACCGAUAGUGAACCAGUACCGUGAGGGAAAGGCGAAAAGAACCCCGGCGAGGGGAGUGAAAAAGAACCUGAAACCGUGUACGUACAAGCAGUGGGAGCCCCACCACUAAGCCAGUGGUGAACUCCACAUCCGCAUCCUUUGCUGAGGAUACGGUUAACGGAGCGAAAGCGACGUUCAACCGCAAAACAAGCAGAGGGGGCUUAGUGGUGGGGUGACUGCGUACCUUUUGUAUAAUGGGUCAGCGACUUAUAUUCUGUAGCAAGGUUAACCGAAUAGGGGAGCCGGAGGGAAACCGAGUCUUAAUUGGGCGUUAAGUUGCAGGGUAUAGACCCGAAACCCGGUGAUCUAGCCAUGGGCAGGUUGAAGGUUGGGUAACACUAACUGGAGGACCGAACCGACUAAUGUUGAAAAAUUAGCGGAUGACCUGUGGCUGGGGGUGAAAGGCCAAUCAAACCGGGAGAUAGCUGGUUCUCCCCGAAAGCUAUUUAGGUAGCGCCUCGUGAAUUCAUCUCCGGGGGUAGAGCACUGUUUCGGCUAGGGGGCCAUCCCGGCUUACCAACCCGAUGCAAACUGCGAAUACCGGAGAAUGUUAUCACGGGAGACACACGGCGGGUGCUAACGUCCGUCGUGAAGAGGGAAACAACCCAGACCGCCAGCUAAGGUCCCAAAGUCAUGGUUAAGUGGGAAACGAUGUGGGAAGGCCCAGACAGCCAGGAUGUUGGCUUAGAAGCAGCCAUCAUUUAAAGAAAGCGUAAUAGCUCACUGGUCGAGUCGGCCUGCGCGGAAGAUGUAACGGGGCUAAACCAUGCACCGAAGCUGCGGCAGCGACGCUGAUGCGUUGUUGGGUAGGGGAGCGUUCUGUAAGCCUGUGAAGGUGUGUCGUGAGGCAUGCUGGAGGUAUCAGAAGUGCGAAUGCUGACAUAAGUAACGAUAAAGCGGGUGAAAAGCCCGCUCGCCGGAAGACCAAGGGUUCCUGUCCAACGUUAAUCGGGGCAGGGUGAGUCGACCCCUAAGGCGAGGCCGAAAGGCGUAGUCGAUGGGAAACGGGUUAAUAUUCCCGUACUUGGUGUUACUGCGAAGGGGGGACGGAGAAGGCUAUGUUGGCCGGGCGACGGUUGUCCCGGUUUAAGCGUGUAGGUGUGUGUUCCAGGUAAAUCCGGUUCACUUUAACACUGAGGCGUGACGACGAGGCACUACGGUGCUGAAGCAACAAAUGCCCUGCUUCCAGGAAAAGCCUCUAAGCAUCAGGUAACACGAAAUCGUACCCCAAACCGACACAGGUGGUCAGGUAGAGAAUACCAAGGCGCUUGAGAGAACUCGGGUGAAGGAACUAGGCAAAAUGGUGCCGUAACUUCGGGAGAAGGCACGCUGACACGUAGGUGAAGUGAUUUACUCAUGGAGCUGAAGUCAGUCGAAGAUACCAGCUGGCUGCAACUGUUUAUUAAAAACACAGCACUGUGCAAACACGAAAGUGGACGUAUACGGUGUGACGCCUGCCCGGUGCCGGAAGGUUAAUUGAUGGGGUCAGCGUAAGCGAAGCUCCUGAUCGAAGCCCCGGUAAACGGCGGCCGUAACUAUAACGGUCCUAAGGUAGCGAAAUUCCUUGUCGGGUAAGUUCCGACCUGCACGAAUGGCGUAAUGAUGGCCAGGCUGUCUCCACCCGAGACUCAGUGAAAUUGAACUCGCUGUGAAGAUGCAGUGUACCCGCGGCAAGACGGAAAGACCCCGUGAACCUUUACUAUAGCUUGACACUGAACAUUGAGCCUUGAUGUGUAGGAUAGGUGGGAGGCUUUGAAGUGUGGACGCCAGUCUGCAUGGAGCCGACCUUGAAAUACCACCCUUUAAUGUUUGAUGUUCUAACGUGGACCCGUAAUCCGGGUUGCGGACAGUGUCUGGUGGGUAGUUUGACUGGGGCGGUCUCCUCCUAAAGAGUAACGGAGGAGCACGAAGGUUGGCUAAUCCUGGUCGGACAUCAGGAGGUUAGUGCAAUGGCAUAAGCCAGCUUGACUGCGAGCGUGACGGCGCGAGCAGGUGCGAAAGCAGGUCAUAGUGAUCCGGUGGUUCUGAAUGGAAGGGCCAUCGCUCAACGGAUAAAAGGUACUCCGGGGAUAACAGGCUGAUACCGCCCAAGAGUUCAUAUCGACGGCGGUGUUUGGCACCUCGAUGUCGGCUCAUCACAUCCUGGGGCUGAAGUAGGUCCCAAGGGUAUGGCUGUUCGCCAUUUAAAGUGGUACGCGAGCUGGGUUUAGAACGUCGUGAGACAGUUCGGUCCCUAUCUGCCGUGGGCGCUGGAGAACUGAGGGGGGCUGCUCCUAGUACGAGAGGACCGGAGUGGACGCAUCACUGGUGUUCGGGUUGUCAUGCCAAUGGCACUGCCCGGUAGCUAAAUGCGGAAGAGAUAAGUGCUGAAAGCAUCUAAGCACGAAACUUGCCCCGAGAUGAGUUCUCCCUGAGACUUAGAGUCUCCUGAAGGAACGUUGAAGACGACGACGUUGAUAGGCCGGGUGUGUAAGCGCAGCGAUGCGUUGAGCUAACCGGUACUAAUGAACCGUGAGGCUUAACCUU